rnacentral:tRNA from 1 species
GCUCUUGGAAUGUGAGUGGCAGCAUGUCCGACUAGCAUUUGGAAAAGUUGUGGUUCGAAUCCCGACGAGGGCA